GGGGAACCAGGACUUUUACUGUGAAAAAAUUAGAGUGCUCCAGGCAGGCCUAUGCUCGAAUACAUUAGCAUGGAAUAAUAGAAUAGGACGUGUGGUUCUAUUUUGUUGGUUUCUAGGACCGCCGUAAUGAUUAAUAGGGACAGUCGGGGGCAUCAGUAUUCAAUUGUCAGAGGUGAAAUUCUUGGAUUUAUUGAAGACUAACUACUGCGAAAGCAUUUGCCAAGGAUGUUUUCAUUAAUCAGGAACGAAAGUUAGGGGAUCGAAGACGAUCAGAUACCGUCGUAGUCUUAACCAUAAACUAUGCCGACUAGGGAUCGGACGGUGUUAUUUUUUGACCCGUUCGGCACCUUACGAGAAAUCAAAGUGCUUGGGCUCCAGGGGGAGUAUGGUCGCAAGGCUGAAACUUAAAGAAAUUGACGGAAGGGCACCACCAGGGGUGGAGCCUGCGGCUUAAUUUGACCCAACACGGGGAAACUCACCAGGUCCAGACACAAUGAGGAUUGACAGAUUGAGAGCUCUUUCUUGAUUUUGUGGGUGGUGGUGCAUGGCCGUUCUUAGUUGGUGGAGUGAUUUGUCUGCUUAAUUGCGAUAACGAACGAGACCU
rnacentral:rRNA from 1 species